GAAGGAGGCUACAUAGAUGCCAGUGCGUAAUUGGUUAAAAUUUUUGUUAUUUAGGAGUGUGGGAUCAUGUGAUAGGUUUAGUAAAUUUGAAGGAGGGAGCCAGUUUUACCUAUAUAAUGUAAAUGAAUAACAAUGCUUGCCGGGAACUAUUUCUGGACUGCAGUUCAACAUCAAGCUGCUGGAACUCUGACUCCUCUGCAUGACCCUGAUGUGCAGAGGCAUCGCUGAAAGCCCCCAGAUGAAUGAAUCCUGACUGGCCAUCGGGUGAAAUUUGUCUGUAUACUGGGAGUGAUUUACAUCACAGUAACUGAGAGCAGAAGCAGGAUUCAUGGGGAUAUCGUUUGCUAUGGAUACCACAAGCAAUGGAAAGUCCAAUGGCCUUAAUUUGCACAGAGUCCUCUGAUUAAAACAACAACAAAACUUCAUGAGUUUAGAGAAGAUGAAUUUUUGAACUUCAUGUUGACAAGAGCACUCUUUUCCAUCUAGCUUCUGGCUACAACAAAGGCUCUUGGUAAGCAUGACUGAGAGAGAUCAGGGAGAAAUGAGAAGAGAAGAGAAGAGAAGAGAAGAGAAGAGAAGAGAAGAGAAGAGGAUAAUAUUCUGUAAGGAAACUAGUAUGUUCCAUUCAGAUUUAGCUGAGGUAUAAACUUCUAAAAAUCACCAUUUCCAUUUUGCCACUUGAGCUGUUCAGGAAAUCUUUGGCAGCCUGCUAAAUAUACAAAACAUAAGGUGUAACCAUUUAAACAUACCAAAAAACCUAUACUAAAAAGACCAUUACUUAGGUAGCAAAGUCAAGCAUUUGAAAAUUAUGGAAACCUAGGUUAGCAGUUGCCCAUACAACUUUAAUUCUGUCAACUUGUGUGUCCAUAUUCUACAAUGAAUGAGGCUGGGUCCUAUGAAAAAACAGUUUGUGAUCAGGAAAUUAAAAACUAUAUCAUAAUGCUUACUCACAAACAGGCAGAAUAAAGGUUGCAGAGGAAACCAUAAAUCUGAAAACUUUCGAGUGCUUGACUUUGUAAAGAAUGUUAUUUUUAAAUUUAGUUCUUUUAUAUGAAAUUUCCUCAGGUUUUUAUAUAUAAACCCAGGUCAUUUUGCUUCACUGUCUCCAACAUUGCUGGACAAAAUACACUGGCCAAAAUCAAGGCUUCUCUGUUUGGCUCAUUACAAGUAAUGACAUGUUGCUACCACAUAACAUGCUAGAAACUUUUCUCUCCAGAGCAAAGAGAUUAUUUUUAAGGCAGCCACACAAAUAAUACUGUGUAAUAAACGUUGACUUUUCGCAUCAGUCUAGUUACAGAUUUAAUAGAGACCUGCAUUUAUCCCAAGGGGCAUCAGAUUCACUGGUAAAAUUAUUGCAAUAUUGGAUUGUGAAAACACAGAAGAAAUACUGACAACACAAAAAGAACUCUCUUUCCUCCCAGUACAAUUCAUAGAUGGCAGAUAAGUUCAAGAGGCGUCAUAGACCAUUUUAUUAAUGUAGCAAAGUAGACACUUUGAGUAUCAGAGAAGAAAAACAAAGCAGUAUUAAUAAACAACAAAUAAAUAAUAAACAAAUAAUAAAAAGCUUUGGGCUGUACUUGCACUCCUCUUCCUAGUUGAUCCUAAAGCAUCUAUAUUAGCUUGGCUGCAACAUAAUGAGGCAUAGAAUGCUCUGUAACAUUUCAUGAGUGUAAAGAAUAAAUUGUUGGCUUUCUACCAACACUAGAAAAUUAAGUCUGAAAUAAAUUGGAAAAUAAAACAGUUAAACUUUUCCCCAAUUCUUCUUCUGCAUUAUCUUCUCCACCCUCCCCCCAUAACAUACAAAUCCUUAAUUGCUAGAAAUGAACAAAACCAAACUGAGGAUUCCUGCCCUCCCUUAAGAUCAUAGUGUGGAGGAUGCAAAUAUAAUAUAUAGCAGGAAUAACAAAUGCUCUAUUUUUUCAAACACUCUCCCAUGAUUUAUGAAAGGUGUACCUCACUGUGGGAAGAUAAUGCCAUUUGAAAUGGUCCAUUUCAUAAAUCUAUCCUCCUCGUCCCUAGCUGCAUAUAGGACUACUAUGAG